GUGCUCCGGGCCCAAGGCAGCGCACGCUCCCCAACGGGCCUGUAACCAGAACAGCCAUGAGGGCUGGACGCACAGUCCUGCGUGUGCUCGCGGUGUGGGGAGCUGAGUAUACCUGGCAAGUGGAGCAUCUGCCAUAGCCAGGGAGCAAGAUACAAACAGAAAACGUCCAGUCACCCGGGCCACAGUGGCCCGCGACAACUCACCACCGUCGUCAAAGCUUGAACACCUGGAAGUAAACUCACCAGGAGCUCCGAGACUUAGAUGAGGAAAAUCAAAACCUUCACCAGAUGACGAAAGAGGAAACGGAAUCAGCCCUGAGAGCUGUGUGGUGUUUCAGAUCCACAUCGAUUCUCCCCCAAAUUCACUUAUAAAUCCAGUGCUAUCCCAACAUAAAGGUCACAGCUAAAAAAUUUAACACAAUUUGACAAGCUAAUUGUCGAGUUCAUGGGAUGUUCAAAGCAGACUCUUCAUAGCUGCUCAGGUGUCCACAAACGAUCGACAGAUAAGCCCAGCGUGGCCCUCCACACCAGGGAACAGGAUUCCACCAGGAAAAGAAUGAGGCCCGCACGGCUGCAGGGGGUGAGCCUGGAGAAUGG
rnacentral:lncRNA from 1 species